rfam:Glycine max cultivar Williams 82 chromosome 15, whole genome shotgun sequence.
AGAGUGCUUUUGAGCCAAGGAUGACUUGCCGGCGUAAGUAUGGUCUCUUCUUUGGGUAUUGUCGGUGAGACAUCUUGACUCACUUGUGCUCU